GUUAUCAUAUAGAAACGUUUCGUAUAAAUAUAUUUAUAUACGCACCUUUCAUUUUGUGACAAUUUCAUCAACAAUUUCAAAAUUAGCUUUGACCUUUGAUCAUGUCAUUGAAGCAAUAACUAUUCCUGUCUUCUUUUUUAUUGUAUGUAUGUAUAUUUGUUGUAACAUAGUACUACAUGUUUGUUCGUUGUAUAAUGCAUUUUUUAAAAUAGUUUCUCAGAUAGAAUAAAAAUUAUACUAUAUAGUCUGAUGUAUAAUUGAUAGUUAGCGAUUAAUAGGUAUAUGUGAUUUAUUCAAAAUGGCAAAGUGUGAUUACCACAUCCAGAAAAAUUUAAAAGAAUCUAAGAGAAAAAUCCUUUUAGAGAUUUUUGCCGAUUUACUUUUUACAAAGUAAGAUUGAGAUUGGGCAUAUCUAUUAGAUUUAAUGGAUGAAGAAUGUCAGAACAAGUAGAAUUGAUGAAAAUAAAUUAUUAAAGAAGUUGUCUAUGAUAAAAAUCUAAGAUCAAGUAUAUCUAUCGCAAAGAUCAAAGUGUCCAUAUGAAAACCAGUAAUAAUUUUCAAACGAAUAAGAAAAUGGUCUACGUUGAUACCUAACCUUACAUUAAGAUUGAAAUCGUGAUGCUUGUCAGAAAUUAUUGAAAGAAUUUCAGGAAUAGGAACAUGAUUAAAAUGUUCAAACAGAAAUUUGCUCUACAUACACUAGGACAAUUCCUGAAGUAAUGUUUAAACAGCAGCGAUGAAAUAUCUCAACGAUGUUAUCGUAAAAUAACCAUUGGUUUCAGUUAUGGAUCCAUUCGAUAAACAGCAUCAUCGUCAAUAUCAUAUUCCAACGUAGAAACGUUUGCUUUAAAUCAGUAACAUUCCAAUAUUCCACCUGAUGGUGAAGUAUAGUCUAAACAAUCAGCUUCAGAAACAACAAAUGGAUCAAACUAAGCAUGUGGAUAUUAAUUUGGAACUGGAAUUUCAACAAAAAAGAAUGGAAAAAGAGUCGAAAAAGAGAAUGAACGAUUAAUUAGAUGAUAGAAGAUAUAAAAUAUAAUAAUCCUGAAGAAAGAUCUUGAAAAAGAGAAUGGAAGAUUAAUUAGGAUGGUAAAAGAUAUAAAAUUCAACAACUACUGCUCAUCAUCAUAGUGACAUUAUGCCUACCAUUUGCAAGAAAAGAAGAGAUUACAAAGGAAUGUUCGAAAUGCAGUUCGUUCCCAUUCAUUGUCUACGAGCGAGAAGUUAAAUUCAACUUAACAGAAGAUUGACAAACUCUUCGACGAGCUCAGUUCAAUGCACAAAACCUUUUUAUUAUGGUGUUGUUCUCGAAAUCAUUACGCAACUUUUUAAACAAUUUUUUUACUUUAUAUGUGCAAAUAUGUAGAAUAAUUUCGUACUGAAAUAUGAAGUAACUGAAAUAUACUUUGAUCAUGCACCUCAAUAAUUCAUGAAUUUCUUCAUUUUCAAUCAACAAUAUAAAUAAUCAAGUUGGUAUUACAUCGAUUAGGUAUAAUUUGAGUCAUUUGGAACAGUGUAGAAAAAAACGUAUAGGAAUUACUACUCGAGCAUUGACUAUCCAAGCAGUAUAACUUUUUCAAGAGCAGAAAUCUGAUAUAGAUGUGAAUUUCAUUUGCAAUAAACUUAAGAUCAAUCAGAUAGUGAAAAUAUUAAAUCAUACACCGACAAAUGAAUUCGAAACACGAGUACUCAUAUCUUUUAUAAAAAAAGUAGAAACCAAAUUGUCCAAACGUGAUGAGAAUAAUGAACAGGUAAAUAUACGUAUAUACAUACAUACAUACUUGUGUGUGUGUGUGUGUGUGUGUGUGUGUGUGUGUGUGUGUGUGUGUGUGUGUGUGUAUGUUUAUGUGGAGUAUAUGUAGAGUGUAUAUAAUGGAAAUAUAAGGUGGUGGAUAUAUGUUUGACCAAUCAUUGAUGUAUCGACGAUGCCGAGUACUGAUCUUUUUGAAUCGUCCAUAAACAAAUGUUUUUCAAUAGAUAAAUAACGUUUUUCGUUUUCAUUUAACGACUAAAAGUCUCUAACAGGCAAGACAGUUGAAUCUGUGCAGUCGUGCCAGAGGAAUAUAAUAGAAGUACGUAAAAAGUCAAUCUCCUCUAUCAAAACAUCGAAACGAAAAACAAAUUAGCAAAGCAAAAGCAUCUAAGAAAAAAUCUAUUCUUCGUAAAAAUUUGUCCUCUUGUCCGCUGUUAUUCUUCAUGUGAUUGUUAUUCGUAUAAUGGCGGAUAGUGCUACAAUUGGAUGAUACACAAAAAUAAAACACGUUGUAAAAUACAAUUUUAAUGACAAUUUUUAAUUAAUCAAUUUAUUUAUUUGUAUUUAUUUCUUUCGUAAUUUAUAUCAGCAAACUUUUUCAAAACAUAAAAAUCAAAAUUAUUUACUGAAUUAAUAAAAUUUUGUUAUUUAUUUACAUGUAAUUCAUUUCUAAUAAAAUCUUAAAAUGUGCGAGAAAUUUUAUUAUCUAAUUAUGUAACAUUGUUUAAACGAUUUUGAUAUAGAAAAAUUAUUAUUUCAAAAGCAGUAAUGAAUUUCACACUAAUUUUAAAUAAAAUUAUAUUAU